rnacentral:rRNA from 1 species
AUUGAACGCUGGCGGCAGGCUUAACACAUGCAAGUCGAGCGAGCGGCGGACGGGUGAGUAAUGUCUGGGAAACUGCCUGAUGGCGGGGGAUAACUACUGGAAACGGUAGCUAAUACCGCAUACCAUCAGAUGUGCCCAGAUGGGAUUGGCUAGUGGGUGGGGUAAUGGCUCACCUGGGCGACGAUCCCUAGCUGGUCUGAGAGGAUGACCAGCCACACUGGAACUGAGACACGGUCCAGACUCCGACGGGAGGCAGCAGCGGGGAAUAUUGCACAAUGGGCGCAAGCCUGAUGCAGCCAUGCCGCGUGUGUGAAGAAGGCCUUCGGGUUGUAAAGCACUUUCAGCGAGGAGACGUUACUCGAAGAAGAAGCACCGGCUAACCCCGUGCCAGCAGCCGCGGUAAUAC